CUAUAUUUUGUUGUAUGGAAUGAUUGUAAGGUGUACAUGUCUAGCGGGCAGAUGUCAUGUGACCUUGACCUCAUUUUCAUGGUUCAGUGGUCAAAGUUAAGUUUUUGAGUUUUGGUCAUUUUAUCUAAUACUAUAUGCCAUAGGUCAACUAUAUUUGGUGUAUGGAAAUAUUUUAUGAUCUUUAUGUCAGUGGCGCAGGUUUUAUUUGACCGUGACCUCAUUUUCACUGUUCAUUGCACAGUGUUAAGUUUUUGUGUUUUGGUCUAUUUUUCUUAAACUAAAAGUAAUGGGUCAACUAUUUAUGUUGUAUAGAAGCAUUGUUAGCUGUACAUGUCUGCCUGGUAUGGUUCAUCUGACCUUGACCUCAUUUUCAAGGUUCAUUGGUCUUUGUUUAGUUAUCUUGGUUAAUGUUAAGUUUAUGUGACAGUUGUAAUAAAGCUCAGCUUUAUACUUAGGACUAUCAACAUAAUAUCAAUGAUUAGUAUAGAAGGCGAGACAUUUCAGCGUGUGCACUCUUGUUAAGUUU
rnacentral:lncRNA from 1 species